UUAAAAUCUGGCCCUUUCAGGGUCCGAGUUGUAGUCUCGAGAAGCCACGUCCGCGCCGGACCUUGGACAAGUCGGUUGGAAUACCGCGUCAACGAGGGUGACAAUCCCGUUUAUACCAAGGACGCCCGUGUGCAUUGUGAUGGGCUUUCAAAGAGUCGAGUUGUUUGGGAAUGCAGCUCUAAUCGGGUGGUAAAUUCCAUCUAAAGCUAAAUAUUGGCGAGAGACCGAUAGCGAACAAGUACCGUGAGGGAAAGAUGAAAAGCACUUUGGAAAGAGAAUGAAACAGUAUGUGAAAUUGCUGGAAGGGAAACGAUUGAGGUUAGACUUGCUGGCACGGCACUCAGCCCUCACGGGUGUAUUUGCCGUGCGUUUGCAGGCCAGCAUCGGUUUGCAGUCGGGUAAAAGGGUGCAGGGAACGUAGCAACCUCGGUUGUGUUAUAGACCUGCACUGGAUGCCCGAUCGCAGACCGAGGUCAGCAGGGCG
rnacentral:rRNA from 1 species